GGAAUCUUCCGCAAUGGACGAAAGUCUGACGGAGCAAUGCCGCGUGAGUGAAGAAGGUUUUCGGAUCGUAAAACUCUGUUGUUAGAGAAGAACAAGGAUGAGAGUAACUGCUCAUCCCCUGACGGUAUCUAACCAGAAAGCCACGGCUAACUACGUGCCAGCAGCCGCGGUAAUACGUAGGUGGCAAGCGUUGUCCGGAUUUAUUGGGCGUAAAGCGAGCGCAGGCGGUUCUUUAAGUCUGAUGUGAAAGCCCCCGGCUCAACCGGGGAGGGUCAUUGGAAACUGGAGAACUUGAGUGCAGAAGAGGAGAGUGGAAUUCCACGUGUAGCGGUGAAAUGCGUAGAUAUGUGGAGGAACACCAGUGGCGAAGGCGACUCUCUGGUCUGUAACUGACGCUGAGGCUCGAAAGCGUGGGGAGCAAACAGGAUUAGAUACCCGGG
rnacentral:rRNA from 1 species